rnacentral:lncRNA from 1 species
GUUAGCUCCCAGCUGCCACCUUGCAGGGCUCUCCUGAGGCUCAAGCUGAGACCCCUUUCUUCUGUCUCCAGCGGAUGACGUGUACCUAGAUUCAGAGGCGGAGCGCCGGGAAUACGUCCUCACACAGCAGGGCUUCAUCUACCAGGGCUCUGUCAAGUUCAUCAAGAGUGUGCCUUGGAACUUUGGGCAGUUUGAGGAUGGGAUCCUGGAUGCCUGCCUGAUGCUCUUGGAUGUGAACCCCAAGUUCCUGAAGGACCGUAGCCGGGACUGCUCACGACGCAGCAGUCCCAUCUAUGUGGGCCGCGUGGUGAGCGGCAUGGUCAACUGCAAUGAUGACCAGGGUGUGCUUCUGGGUCGCUGGGACAACAAUUAUGGGGACGGUAUCAGUCCCAUGGCCUGGAUCGGCAGCG